UACAGAGGAGCCAAGCGUUGUCCGGAUUGACUGGGCGUAAAGCGCACGCAGGCGGAUGCGCGCGUGGGGUGUGAAAUCUGGCCGCUUAACGGCCAGGCGCCAUCCCAUACGGCGCGACUGGAGUGAUGCAGAGGUCGAUGGAAUUGCCGGUGUAGUGGUGAAAUGCGUAGAGAUCGGCAGGAACACCCAGGGGGAAACCAGUCGACUGGGCAUCUACUGACGCUGAGGUGCGAGAGCGUGGGGAGCGAACCGG
rnacentral:rRNA from 1 species